rnacentral:rRNA from 1 species
AGUACAAGUUGGGCAACUUGCCCGAAAGUGGGGGAUAGCUCCGAGAAAUCGGAAUUAAUACCGCAUGUGGACCGACUGGCUUCGGCCGGUCUGUCUAAAGCAGCAAUGCGCUUUCGGAUGGGCCCGACCCCCAUUAGCUUGUUGGUGAGGUAACGGCUCACCAAGGCUACGAUGGGUAGCUGGUCUGAGAGGAUGGUCAGCAACACGAGGACUGAGAUACGGCCUCG